rnacentral:rRNA from 1 species
UACCAGCACCCCGAGUGGUCGGGUCGAUUAUUGGGCCUAAAGCAUCCGUAGCCGGUCAUGCAAGUCCUCCGUUAAAUCCAGCCGCUCAACGGUUGGGCUGCGGAGGAUACUACGUGGCUAGGAGGCGGGAGAGGCAAGCGGUACUCAGUGGGUAGGGGUAAAAUCCUUUGAUCCAUUGAAGACCACCAGUGGCGAAGGCGGCUUGCCAGAACGCGCUCGACGGUGAGGGAUGAAAGCUGGGGGAGCAAACCGG